ensembl:lncRNA
AUAUAUAUAUUAUAUAUAUAUGUAUAUAAUUAUAGUGAACACAUACAUUGUCAUGUUUUUUAUUCAUAGAAUCCUGCUGAAAUGUAAGCUAAUUGUAAUAAAUUAGCUCUGUUAUCUUAUUAGUUUGAAUUUAAGUCAAGAGAACACGAUUCCUUCAAUCUCCUUUUAGUUUGGGUUUCGGAGAAUGGGACACCAAUAGUGAUGUUUUGGGUAUCGCAACGUUUCUUCACUAUAAACUGAACUGAUGUUGCAUGCUUCAUGGAUAUAGGAUGGUGCAUCUAAAAUGUUUUCAAUCUCGUUGGGAAAAUAUUGCAUCCCCAUUGAGUGAAACGGCUCCUGAGUGACACAAUAACAGCCUCAUCUAUACUAUAUAAAGACACUAAGCACCCCCACCGUCUCAAACCACAUUUAAAAUAAUUCAGUUAAACAGCCUAGACAUGUUUUCUUCCUUGAAAUUCAACUUUCAAGUAAAUUAGAUCUUCUCUUGGGCUUUUGAUGUAUCUUGUAACAGAAAAACAAAGCCAAUUGUUUUCCCAUGAAAACAGAUAAUGAUCUUCCUAGUUUAGAAUACAGGGCAAACUUAUUUUGGAAUACAUUACUAUUCCGUAGAAUUACGAUCUGGGCACUAAAGGUUAACAGUACAAAGCAUUGCAGUUUUUAUUUCUUUUUCAAAAUUCUGCUUUUAUUGUAGACUAAUCAGGGCUGAUUAAGCUAUUGAAACAAAGCUUUUUUUGCCAUGUGCAUAAUGUCUGUAGUUCGAUGACACACUAUUAAUCAAUAAUAUCAUUACGCAUCACCAAUUCUGGUUACAUUCAUUUGCAACCUAUAAGCCCAAGCGUUGUUAGAUUGACGCUGUUAAUGGGCUUUUAACAGAUUCUCUCUUUUUCACCAAUCUGCUAAAGCAGGCCUGUCGCGUUCAAACAUGGUUCAUUACAAGUUACUGAACCUCAAAGAGAAGUCAGAAUUCUUUAAAAGUAGGUUCAGUGGUAGAAGUUAAGUGCAAUUAUGUCCCAUACUUGAAUUUUGAAUGACAAAGAUUCAGCAGUAGCGUUAUUUACUAAAAUUAUUACAAUAUUUGAAUUGUGAUUUUACAUCCUAUAUAAAAAUCAUAGAAAUUGUACGGAUAUGUAUUGUAAAGGCAUGGUUUUAAGAGCAUUUUAAUGCAGUGUCCUUGUCUUACUCUUCUACAUGAACAGUUCCGGACAGAGACAACUGUGGUAGGGUGAUUUGGUAAUUAUGAGUGCAGUACUGUCACAUUUCAUUUCAUUUGCUACCUGCUAUCAGGGCCGAAACAAAUAAGGGCUGAACGUGGUCUUCAAUUAAAAUGUGAAAAACUGUGUGGAAGACAAGCUAUGGGGAGUUCCUUAGUGCAUUCCAGCUCCGUCUUUGCUUAGAGAUUACCCGUGGCAGGUUGAUUUAAUCAUCUGCGGUAAGGGAACUAAUUAAAAUUUCUGCGCCCAUUUUGGUGAAAAGGCCUUUACAAUAGAAUUACCUUGACACGCUGUUGUCCCCCUCCGGGCCAUCUGUAUGCAGACACGGUGCUGCUUCUCAGCGCGCUUGACACGUCUUAUCUCCGGCGGUCGUCCACAGGUGUUCUCGGUCACGGGAGUGAGAUCCAAAUGCUGUGCAGGGACUGGGAUGCAGCCUAAUGCUGUUUACUCUCCCCAGUACAAGUGGCUUGCUGCGUUGCAGAAGUGAAGCAUCUCCGGUUUUAAAAAUUAUAAUAGUGGCCAACAUUUACAAGCUACAGACAAGCUUUUUUUCAUUUUUAAAGCUUUAACAACCUUUAGUUGUAGAUGAACAAAGUUGUCUUUUAAGGAUCAUUGUGUGUGCAGUGGUGAUGGCUGAGGUACACGACUCUGUUUUACAAUACACAAAGCCCCGUGUUAAACAGAGUAGCGCUCUGCUUGUGACCCACAUAAGCAACAAGUUAAGUUCAUGACAUCUUGCAACAUGAAAGUGGACAGCUGUUCUCCCAACAGCUGUCACAACUAAAAAUGACACUACAGUACUUUAACUCAAUUGAGCCCCAGAGAGAUGGACUAAACAUCUACAGUAACUAUAGUUAUAUACUGUAACCUUUAAACCUAAUAAAAUGUACUGACAUCGCCCUUUGUUCCCUCUCCCUUGUAAUUACAAAGUGUUUUUUAAUACGAGCCAUGAAAAUCAGAAAUGGAUGCCCUUCUGGUUGCAUUAUGAUGUGUUUUACAAAAAAAUAAGAUGGCAACAGCACAAAAGACAAACCAAAGAGGGUUCGCUGUGUCGCCUCACAGUAAGAAGGUCUUGGGCUCUGUGUGGAGUUUGCAUGUCCCUGUGCCUGCGUGGGCUCUCUCCAGGUACUCCGGUUUCCUUCCCAAAGUUCAAAAACAUGUUAUUUGGUUCUCUGAAUUGCCCAUUGGUCCACUUGGGGGGACACAAUGUUUGUCUGUCUCUGUCAGCCCUGUGCUUGACUUUACACGAUCCCUCGCUCAAUUUAAGAUGGGAUUGACUCUAACCUUUGAUCCUGUAAGAACAAGUGGUAUGGAAAACAUGCACUCGCUGUUUUCUUGACAAAAUAGUUUGACACAGUUUUUUUUAGGAUAAUUUCUGUAAUGCAUUCUAGGUGGAUCAAUUUUACAUUUUACGAAGACAUGAGACAACUAAACCAAUCAUUACUGAACAAUAAUGUUUAGUAGUACUGCGCCUCAAGCCGGGUCUAACAAUAGGUUGAUUGUGAUUGCGGUACACCUGCACAUGCUCUGCAUAUUUUGUGUCUGUGUAUUCAUAAAACUCACUCACAAGGUCAGGGUUCUUUAGUCUUACCUUAAUUUGCAGAAAUGUAAUGUCCAUCUCUGGUUCUUUAAGCAACCACACAGGAAUUAUUGGGCAAAUGACAGUAGGGAUAAGCUCUAUAUCAGUCACUCCUAGCUUCUUGCUGCUGCUCCCUCUAUCUAUCCAAAACUUGUCUUUGGUCCAUUGUGCCUUUCCCAGCAUGCCUGUAACACUUUUUUAGUUGGGUGAUGACCUCUCAGGUUUAUCCAAUAAUUAACCAACAGCUGCUUUCUGCAAUGAUACAAUGGCAUUUCUCCAUCUACCCAGCAAUAGGACUUUCACACUACCCUGUGGUGUCCCAUUUUCUACUUCACAUUUCUUGGACUUUUCCGUUCCUAUUCUUACCUGGAUAAUUAUUUUACUUAGAAAAGAGGUUCCCCUUAAAUAAUGCCACUGUCGUCCGCACCCCUCCCGUCGGCCGUCGAACCUGAAAUUAGUUUGACACCCCUGCUCUACAUAAUACAUUAAUCUCUCGUUUACCAUCCGUUCCACAAGCUUGCAUAUAUGUGAUGUUAGGGCUAUUGGUCUAAAAUUUGAUGGGUCACUUGCAUCUUUCCCCGGCUUCCUUAAAGGGACAAUCACAGCGUCCUUCUACCUUGCUGGUAUGCUACCUUCCUCCCACACCUUGCUGUAUAAUGUUUAGUAACUUAUUCAUCCCCUCUCCACUUAAUUGCUUUAACAUAAUAUACCAUAUUUGAGUAUUUCCUGGGGCAGUCAUUCCAGCUUUGACAACUGCUCUUUUUAACUCCCCUGUUGAAAACAGUACAUUCAAUUAAUCUUCAGUUUUCUCCUUCUUCCUCAAUGCCUCAAUUUUUACAUCUUGUUUCCUCUCCAGUUCGCUUUUCUUCCUUAGACAGAUUGUUAUUGCUGUGUAUCUUUACAAAAGGUAUUAGCCAAUGUCUCAGCCUUCUGUUUAUUCUUCUUCUCCAGCUUUUCCACAGGAUAACUCCUCUCUCUUCUGUUCCCUCCCAUCUUUCUAAUCAUCCCCCCACACUUCUCCUACUGAGGUUGUAUUUCCAACUGUGUCACAAAACUUCCUCCAGUGUGUCCUUUUUGGUUGCCUUAUUGUCUUUCUCACUAUUGCCUGUGCUUUUUUAAACUAUCCGAUAUUGAUAUAUAGAUCAUAUAGUUCUUUUCAUUAACUUAAAUGCCCGGUUUCUUUUUAUAAUUGCCUCUUUACACGUAUUGCUCCACCAUUGUACCGUUUUUUUCUGUUUGAUUUUACUUUUUAGUAUAGAUUCUAGCGCAGCUGCCCUAAUGCCUUCUGUUAUAAUAUAAUUUAGGGUUUCUAUAGGCGUAUCAUCAUUAAUCUUCCUUAGAUGCUGAUCGCUCUUUUCCUUAAAUCCUACAUGAUACACCUUCCAUUCAAACACUGCCGCAAUAUUAUUGGACACUAGUGAGAGGUCUAGUACAGACUCCUUUCCUGUCCUGAUAUGUAUCUUGCUAUUACUCCCAUCAUUUAGGCCAGAGGUGCCCAAUCUUUUUUGAACCAUGAUCUACUUUUAAAGUUGAUAGUGUAUCGAGAUCUCCCAAGCCAUCUAUUGAAAGCCGUAGCGUAGCCACAAUUCAUUGCGCACCUAUAUUAGGACACUGUUUUCUGACACAUAGAUACAGUUUUAGUAAGUAAAUGUGAAUUUGCAAGGAAUAAGCACAAGUAGGCCUAGGACUGGCCCGUAACAACACAACAGACAAACAACCCAAAUAAUACAAUGCCUAAUUCUUGGAACUUUUAUAAGAACUAAUUCAAGUUGGAAAAGUGGUAUUUCUAUACCUUAGUGGGAUUUCUGGCACUGAGAGGAGGAAGCUAGUCUCUCAUAGUCCGGACAGUAAGAGCUGAGUACCAGCCGUAAGCAGACUGCAAGGUGGUCAUCAGUCAUGGUGGAUCUGUAUUUUGACUUGAUGAUUUUCAUAUGUGAAAAGGCAGACUCACACAAAUAUGUUGAUCCAAAAAGUGCAGUCAAAUUCUCUGCAGUUUGUCUGAGGUUGGGGUACUUCUCUUUCUGCAUUAGAUUCUAGAAUUGGACAUUCAUGUCAGGUGUUGCUCUGGAUUUGAGCUCAAUGUCAUUCUUCAGUGUGAGGAUCUCAUUCUCAACAGCACAGCUAUCAGGGUUGAAGAGUGAUGCCACUUUGGACGUUAUACAAUCCACAUCUAUAUUUCCCCCAAAUGGAAAACAGAUAGCUGACAACAGGCUCAAUGGACGCAAAGUCAGUGAAGCGCCUGUCAAAUUCUGACAAGAUGCUCUGCACUUGCUCAUCAUAACGUGCACUCUCAAGCUCCGCCCAGUCUUUGCCCAUAGCCUGGACUGCCAAUGCAAACGCAUUGGCCGUGAGACCCACGCAUUUGAUGAAUUUCACACGCUCUCACGCCACACCUCCGAUUUCUCACGCCAAAAAAAUUGGGAGACUACCAUUGAAAAAGAGGGGCGCCAGACCAUAACAGUAAUGUAAGGUUCCCUUUCCUGUCCAUGGUCACGUUUACAACGAGCUCGGUAUCGCGCUGCGCCGAUACAUCCGCGCGCUCCGGAGCAGAAAGCGCGUCGUCGGUGUUCGUCUGCACCCCCCAUACACUUAUGGUUAAUAAAGUUAUUACUUAUUUGGGCAUAUGAAUUAUAUUUAUGAUUAUAAUUCUCUCGUUUAUCACAAAUAUUAGCAUUAAAUCAUAAUUUGGAGGGUACAUGGUUUUCACGAGGCAGGAAAGGUUUGAAAUUUGUAACCAGCCAUUUCAUUUAAUGUACUGUAGUGGAGUUUAAAGUACAGUGUUUGCCUCUAAAAUACAGCAGAGCAGACUAAAUUGAAGUUGCAUGAAUUCCUCAAAUGUCUACAUUAGUAAAUAUACUGUACAUUUCACCACUGGGUAAAAGCCUUAUGCUGUGUUUUGUAUUUGUUUUCAGAAUGAGACAGGGAUGGGCUGUGAGAGCUCUCCAGCAUCAUCCACUGUACUUCUAGAAAAUAAUCCAGCACUCUGGCCAAAACAGCUGUCGGAUAGUGCACGCUGCUCAAUAGUGGAGAGAGGACCACUUCAGGUGAAGGACAGGAUCUUCCCAAGGAAUGAAGACGGGCGCAGAUUUACCAGCAGCAACUACUACAUGCAGAUGAAAAAUGGAGAACAGAUAUGCAGAUCAUGGCUUGUCUACAGUAAAAAGAAGGACCGUGUUAUUUGUUUUUGCUGCCGCCUAUUUGGAAACCGAGAAAGGAGCAAUCAGCUGAGUGAGGAUGGGUUUAAUGAUUGGAAAAAUAUUUCAGCCGACCUGAGACAGCAUGAAAAGUCUGCUGAGCACAUUGCAAAUAUGGAUGCUUGACGCAACCUAUCGCAGAAACUCCAGACACACACUAUCAAUCAGAAGAACCAAAAUCUUCUCAUUUCAGAGGGCCCCAUGCCUGCCUCUGCCUUGGGCCCCAAAUUUCUUAAAUCCGCCACUGCCUACUGCCAUUUGGUCUCUGUUCUCCCCUUGCAUAAUUCACUUCUCAAUAUUCUGGCCAGUUGUAAUGGAUCCAUCCUUCAUAUUGUAUCACUACAUUAGGCAUUUUUUCUUUGGUUCCCAAACUUCCUUUUCUUCGGUUUCAUCCAAACUUGCUUCCCUCUUUUUUUUCUUCUUUUGCGCACCAUUGUCCAUUCACUCUCCUUCCCUAUUGGUGUCUCUUCCUCACUUAGCGCCAUGCUAUCACUAUAUCGUUCUCACAGCCAUCCCCCCACCAACAAUGACUACGCGCCUUACUCUUGCGCUCCUAGCCACCCCCCAAAUGUAUCUUAAAUGUCUGGUUGUUUCGCUCCACAGCUGAUCUCCUCUCCCUCCGACCACCCCUUCAAGGUAUGUCCUUAUUUUCAUCCCCCUCCUUCUCCCUGUCCCGCCCUAAAGUCCGGCCUUAAUCAGGUGGCCUAAACACUUACACCCGUGUAAGUUUCGAGGCCUUCUGGGAGCUGUAGUUCCAUCUGCAGCCGCCAUUUUGUAGGGGGCCAGCUACCCCUUAAAGGGGAAGUAGCACCCAUCAACCAGUUGGCCCCGUGUGAUGCCACAGUAUGAUAGUGGAUUAUGGAUUGAUGUUCUUCAGAUUUGUCUUAAAUAUGUUGAUAAGUGACUGCAUGCAUAUCCUGCUACUCUAGCUUAAAUGCCUUUCGUGUUCUGACGACCUUUGACGUUUGCAUAAUUUGUGUUGGUUAAAAUGGAUUUUCCUAAUGUCUUGACGUUUACAUGGAACAUGUUUGCGAACUGUCAAGCUAGAAAUUACAAUUAACGGUCAUCCAAAAACAAUUUAUUUUGUGUGCACACUAAUAUGCAACGUUUAGGGAAAUGUAAACAGGUGUACUUAAAGGCUCAAAUGCUGUUACUCAAUAAUGUCAUCUAACCGUAUUAUACAAAAACAAUACGGUACUUGGGGCAGUACUUUAUCACGGGAGAACAAGGAUUAGGACCCAAAUGCAACCACAGGAGCAAGCAUAUGGUUACCAAAUUUAUUCGUCGCUCCAAAAAGACAAUUCACGACAUGAGUCCCGUGACUCGACGUCAGAAGGUAGGCGGAUCAGGACAUGAGUCCCGUGACUCGACGUCAGAAGGUAGGCGGAUCACGACAUGAGUCCCGUGACUCGACGUCAGAAGGUAGGCGGAUCACGACAUGAGUCCCGUGACUCGACGUCAGAAGGUAGGCGGAUCACGACAUGAGUCC